rnacentral:rRNA from 1 species
UACAGAGGGUGCAAGCGUUGUUCGGAAUUACUGGGCGUAAAGCGUGCGUAGGUGGUGAGUUAAGUCUGUCGUGAAAGCCCCGGGCUCAACCUGGGAAUGGCGAUGGAUACUGGCUCGCUAGAGUGCGGUAGAGGAGAGUGGAAUUCCUGGUGUAGCGGUGAAAUGCGCAGAUAUCAGGAGGAACACCGGUGGCGAAGGCGGGUCUCUGGGCCGAUACUGACGCUGGAGG